CAGAACGAACGCUGGCGGCGCGUUUAAGCAUGCAAGUCGAGCGGCAAGGGCCUUCGGGCCCCUAGAGCGGCGGACGGGUGAGUAACACGUGGACAAUCUGCCCCCCGGCCCGGGAUAGCCCAGGGAAACCUGGAUUAACACCGGAUGAGACGGGACCCGCGAUGGCGGGACCCGGGAAAGGCGCUGCGGCGCCGCCGGGGGAUGAGUCUGCGUCCCAUUAGCUAGACGGCGGGGUAACGGCCCACCGUGGCGACGAUGGGUAGCCGGCCUGAGAGGGUGGACGGCCACAUUGGAACUGAGACACGGUCCAGACUCCUACGGGAGGCAGCAGCUAAGAAUCUUCCGCAAUGGGCGAAAGCCUGACGGAGCCGACGCCGCGUGAACGAAGAAGGCCGUGAGGUUGUAAAGUUCUUUUCGGGAGGGGGAACAACCGUGGCAGGGAAUGGCCGCGGGAUGACGUGAAUCCCGGAAUAAGCCCCGGCUAACUACGUGCCAGCCGCCGC
rnacentral:rRNA from 1 species